UGCAAAAUGAUUUUAGUUUUAUUUAUACGAAUAUGCAAACAUGAAAUAAAAACAUGACAUGCGAGUUGAAAUGCACAAAUUUCUAUUUGACGAACCGAAACAAACUAAUUCUAAUUAUCGUAUUGUUAGAUCAAUACGCAAGUAACAAAAAAUAGAACACGAUAGAUCGGUUGAGAUAGCAUACAAUAUGUUUGCUAAUACAUUAGAUUAAUACGCAAGUAACAUAUUGAGAUAGAAUACGAAACAUAAUACAAGUACGAUCUUAUAUUAUCGUAGAGACGAAGCCGAAAACAAUAGAGAUGAUGUAGAUCUCUAAUAAGUAUGCUUAAACAGAUAUUGAGACAAAAUGGAAAUCA
rnacentral:lncRNA from 1 species